rnacentral:tRNA from 1 species
AAAAUCCGUCGACUUUAGAAAUCGUGAGGUCCCCA